rnacentral:rRNA from 1 species
GGAAUCUUCCACAAUGGACGAAAGUCUGAUGGAGCAACGCCGCGUGAGUGAAGAAGGGUUUCGGCUCGUAAAACUCUGUUGUUAAAGUAAGAACAUAUCUGAGAGUAACUGUUCAGGUAUUGACGGUAUUUAACCAGAAAGCCACGGCUAACUACGUGCCAG